UACGUAGGGUGCGAGCGUUGUCCGGAAUUAUUGGGCGUAAAGGGCUCGUAGGCGGUCUGUCGCGUCGGGAGUGAAAACUCAGGGCUUAACCCUGAGCCUGCUUCCGAUACGGGCAGACUAGAGGUAUGCAGGGGAGAACGGAAUUCCUGGUGUAGCGGUGAAAUGCGCAGAUAUCAGGAGGAACACCGGUGGCGAAGGCGGGUCUCUGGGCAGUAACUGACGCUGAGGAGCGAAAGCGUGGGGAGCGAACAGG
rnacentral:rRNA from 1 species